CUGUGUAACUCCUAGUUGAGUGUGAAGACCUGAGGUAUCAGGGGUAGGGGUUGCUCUGCUUGUGUAAGUCCCAUAGUGUGAAGGCCAGAGAACCAAGAGAUGGUCAAGAAGAGAGAGUAAGUGUCCAAUGUCCCAGCUCAAGAAGAGAGAGAGCAUCACGACCUGUGCAGACUCCCCAGCAUCAUAACAGGAAGGUCCCACGAUCACGAGCACAUUGCCUUCAGCAUCCAGCACUGAAUAUGGUGAAUUGCACUCUGAAGAGCUUCCUAAGCUUGUAAGAAAGUGAUUCUGAAAAGCUCAACAUUUUGGUAGAAUGGAGAGAUUUGACAUUGCUUCUGCUCCAAAAGCAAAAGACUUGGGAAGGGCACCCUGGGAGUUGAGAACAUCCACCACAGAGAGAAAGAAUGCUGAUCCCUGUUCUGGGCACCUGUUCUGCACCCUUUUGGCCAGUCCUUCCAGCCUGUGGAGACAGCUACUGUCCUUGCUGACUGUGCUAGGCCUGGCGUAAAGGAGAUGGGACUCACACCCAAGAGGAUGCAUUUCCAUACACCCAUUUCUGAAAUAUGAAGAGGUGUCCAGUCUGUUUGAUUCAUAGCUGCCUGUUCCACAACUGCAGAUACAGUAAUUGAUAACCGAGACCAAGUUCUCAUCCCCAUCUCCCAGGGCUGGAACUGGGGCUGUGUUUGGUUCUCAUAAGAUCAGUUCCAGUUUUAGAAACUGAGUAAAUUGUGGAGUAAAUAUUGCCAAGUGAUGGCUUUCUGCUGUAGGCGUGGGUCGCUGUUGGCCAUUUGCCUCAGCAUAUCACCAGCAAUGCACCUCAUUGCAUCACUGCAUUUCCAAUUACACCUCAAAGCACCACUGGUCCCCUGUCCACCCUCUGCCCUGCAGAGGUGGGUGUUCAGGGAGACAGAUCCAAAAUCUGGGCUCAGAAGAUGGAAAUGCCAACUGCUCUCAAUUUGAGAGUGGGGAUGAGACUUUUUGACUCAACUCUGGUUAAUUCAGCCAUGCUGUCAGAGCUGCUUUGAUGCAAGGACAUCUGAAUGCUAUCUGAAUGCUGCCCCUAAAAUAACAAAUUAAAAACAACAACAACAACAAAAA
rnacentral:lncRNA from 1 species